rnacentral:rRNA from 1 species
AUACGGAGGGAGCCAGCGUUGUCCGGAAUCACUGGGCGUAAAGGGCGUGUAGGCGGGCUGGCAAGUCAGAUGUGAAAUUCCACGGCUUAACCGUGGAGGGUCAUCUGAAACUGCCGGUCUUGAGUUCGGGAGAGGGUGGUGGAAUUCCCGGUGUAGCGGUGAAAGGCGUAGAUAUCGGGGGGAACACCGGAGGCGAAGGCGGCCACCUGGCCCGACACUGACGCUGAGGCGCGAAAGCGUGGGGAGCAAACAGGAUUAGAAACCCUAGUAGUCC